GGAUGAAGGCCUUCGGGUUGUAAACCUCUUUCAGUAGGGAAGAAGCCGGUCCUUCGGGGGUGGUGACGGUACCUGCAGAAGAAGCGCCGGCUAACUACGUGCCAGCAGCCGCGGUAAUACGUAGGGCGCAAGCGUUAUCCGGAAUUAUUGGGCGUAAAGAGCUCGUAGGCGGUUUGUCGCGUCUGCCGUGAAAGUCCGGGGCUUAACCCCGGAUCUGCGGUGGGUACGGGCAGACUAGAGUGCAGUAGGGGAGACUGGAAUUCCUGGUGUAGCGGUGAAAUGCGCAGAUAUCAGGAGGAACACCGAUGGCGAAGGCAGGUCUCUGGGCUGUAACUGACGCUGAGGAGCGAAAGCAUGGGGAGCGAACAGGAUUAGAUACCCUGGUAGUCCAUGCCGUAAACGUUGGGCACUAGGUGUGGGGGACAUUCCACGUUUUCCGCGCCGUAGCUAACGCAUUAAGUGCCCCGCCUGGGGAGUACGGCCGCAAGGCUAAAACUCAAAGGAAUUGACGGGGGCCCGCACAAGCGGCGGAGCAUGCGGAUUAAUUCGAUGCAACGCGAAGAACCUUACCAAGGCUUGACAUGAACCGGAAUGAUGCAGAGAUGUGUCAGCCACUUGUGGCCGGUUUACAGGUGGUGCAUGGUUGUCGUCAGCUCGUGUCGUGAGAUGUUGGGUUAAGUCCCGCAACGAGCGCAACCCUCGUUCCAUGUUGCCAGCGGGUUAUGCCGGGGACUCAUGGGAGACUGCCGGGGUCAACUCGGAGGAAGGUGGGGACGACGUCAAAUCAUCAUGCCCCUUAUGUCUUGGGCUUCACGCAUGCUACAAUGGCCGGUACAAAGGGUUGCGAUACUGUGAGGUGGAGCUAAUCCCAAAAAGCCGGUCUCAGUUCGGAUUGAGGUCUGCAACUCGACCUCAUGAAGUUGGAGUCGCUAGUAAUCGCAGAUCAGCAACGCUGCGGUGAAUACGUUCCCGGGCCUUGUACACACCGCCCGUCAAGUCACGAAAGUUGGUAACACCCGAAGCCGGUGGCC
rnacentral:rRNA from 1 species